GAUGAAGAACGUAGCGAAAUGCGAUACUUGGUGUGAAUUGCAGAAUCCCGUGAACCAUCGAGUCUUUGAACGCAAGUUGCGCCCGAAGCCAUUAGGCCGAGGGCACGCCUGCCUGGGCGUCACACGUCGUUGCCCCCCAUCUACUCCUUCGGGAUUGCGGGGGGCGGAUGAUGGCCUCCCGUGCGCCUCGUCGCGCGGUUGGCAUAAAUGCCAAGUCCUCGGCGACGCACGCCACGACAAUCGGUGGUUGCGAAACCUCGGUUGCCCGUCGUGUGCGGUCGUCGCGCAUCGAGGGCUCGAAAAAAUUGCCGGGCUCCGGCUCGGCUUUCAACGCGACCCCAGGGCAGGCGGGGUUACCCGCUGAAUUUAAGCAUAUCAAUAAGCGGAGGA
rnacentral:misc_RNA from 1 species